AACGAACGCUGGCGGCAUGCCUAACACAUGCAAGUCGAACGAGACCUUCGGGUCUAGUGGCGCACGGGUGCGUAACGCGUGGGAACCUUCCCUUAGGUUCGGAAUAACUCCCCGAAAGGGGUGCUAAUACCGGAUAAUGUCUUCGGACCAAAGAUUUAUCGCCUUUGGAUGGGCCCGCGUUGGAUUAGCUAUUUGUUAGGGUAAAAGCCUACCAAGGCGACGAUCCAUAGCUGGUCUGAGAGGAUGAUCAGCCACACUGGGACUGAGACACGGCCCAGACUCCUACGGGAGGCAGCAGUGGGGAAUAUUGGAAAAUGGGCGAAAGCCUGAUCCAGCAAUGACGCGUGAGUGAUGAAGGCCUUAGGGUUGUAAAGCUCUUUUAACCGGGAUGAUAAUGACAGUACCGGGAGAAUAAGCUCCGGCUAACUCCGUG
rnacentral:rRNA from 1 species